rnacentral:snoRNA from 1 species
ACUGACACCAGAGGCAAUACAGGCCCACUGCUGAGUGAGGUGGGUGCCCUGGUGACAGAGAAUACAAAGAAGGUGGGGUUGCUGGAUGCCUUCUUUGUCU